ensembl:lncRNA
AGGCACCGCCAGGCUCCGGGUUACUGAUCGGAAGGGUGUGGUUCAGUCCCCGGCACUGCCAGGCUCUGGGUUACUGAUCGGAAUGGCGGGGUUCAGUCCCCAGUACUGCCAGGCUUUAGGUUACUGAUCAGAAGGGCGGGGUUCAGUUCCCAGCACUGACAGGCUCUGGGUUACUGAUCAGAAGGGUGGGGUUCAGUUCCCAGCACUGCCAGGCUCUGGGUUACUGAUCGGAAUGGCGGGGUUCGGUCCCCGGCACUGCCAGGCUCUGGGUUACUGAUCAGAAGGGUGGGGUUCAGUUCCCAGCACUGCCAGGCUGUGGGUCACUGAUCGGAAGUUCGGGGUUCAAACCCCAGCACUGCCAGUCUUUGGGUUACUGAUCAGAAGGUCGGGGUUUCAGUCCGCAGCAUUGCCAAACUGCCACUGUUGUGCCCUCCAGGGGCGCUGUACCCUGCGCUGGACCCUGCCCUCAGACCCCCGCUUCCUGACAUGCUGGGGUAUGCGAAGAAACAAUUUCAUUGUGCUGUAAUGUAUAUGUGAUUAAUCAUUAUAGUGAUUACAAUAUAUUGUUCAGCUCUUGUAUGUGUACAGGGCCCAUGGUGUGUCCUGCGCCGUGCCGUGUGUCACAGUGUAAUCCGGUUUACGGCUGCAAGUACAAGUGCUACUACACAAGUGUGUGUGAAGGCUUGAUGAUGGGUAGUCACAUGAAAUAAAACAUCAGUGCAUCUGUUUUCAGGGGUAUUUAGAGCAGCUGUCUUCUCAGCCUAGACACACACACACACACACACACACACACACACACACACACACACAGUGGUCAUGCUGGAAGGUAUACAGCAGUUGUGCCCUGGUGAAUUCUCUCUGUGUGACAGAUGAGGACAGAGUUCCAGCUCUGUUCAGUAUAUUGUGUGUUUUUUGUGCAUGACUUUCUCCCCUAUGCUCGUUUAGUUUAAUUACUGGGAUAGUGAGCUGUGUAAUGACCGUCUCAUCGCUGACCAGCUACUUCCUGUGUUUGCUACUUUUGUAGCCCUCCCUCUAUUUUCCUUGUUGUUGAGUCGAGAUGUUGUGAAUCUCAUCAGACCUCUAAAAUGCUGCAGAGGUUUACGAUCUUAUUAACUCUGUGUGUGUGUGCAUACAUGGAGUGUUUGCAUUUCUGUUUGUCUGUGGGGUUUGAACUGUUUUGAAUUGGAAUGCAUAUGUGGAAAUUAACAAGUAUUUGUGUGUGUGUGUGUGUAUGGGGGAAAAACACAUUGUUUAUCUAUACAGCUGUGUGUGAGCAUAGCAUUUAGUGUGUAUGUGUGAAUGUGCGUUUUGAGCAGUAUUUUCUCUCUCUCUCGCUCUCUCACGCUCUCUCUCCUCUCUCUGAAGCGAGUGCUGUAAUUGAUAUGCCACAAGCAAUAAAUCAGCAGCCGGCCGUGCCACCACACCCCAUUAUCUAAGGAGACAGGUUUAGCGGCCUGUCCAGGGGCUCCGUCUGGGUGUAUGAGGAGUGUGUGUGUGUGUGUGUGUGUUGGGAGGUGUGGUUCAAGUGCCUGUGAGAGUACCUGGAUGUUGAGUCAGGGUGACGUCCUUAGGGUCAAACAAAUGGAGAAGGGAAAGGAGGCAAAAUAAAAUCAUUCCCUGCCAAAUCUCACCAUUUCCCAUACCCAGUCCUCCGUCCUACAACUUGUGCCCUUGUCAUCUAUUAUCUUUUCUUCUUUUCAUCAGCCACUUCCCACGCCCCCCCCCCCCCCCCCCACUACCUCUCUGCUCUGUUUAAAAAUAAAUAAAUAAAUAAAAAUCAUGUGUUUUUGACUCCCAUCUAGACUUGCGAAUAAAAUUGCAAAUAAAAUGUGCUUAAAAAAAGGGAGGAAGGAAAUUGAAAUUUGGCGAGUCGGACGAAGCAAGAAUGCUUUUAUGGAAAUUGGAGAAGGAGAUAUUUUUUUUUUUUCCUUUUUUUUUAUUUUUUUAUCUAGGGAAGAGAAUUGACCAUUUUCCCAGCUGUCAGUCAUUUUCCAGGCACUGUAGCAUAGCCCAGGUUUGAUAACUACCCCGAAUCCGUUUCUCUCUGCACACCAUUGUGCACUAACUCUGCUCGCUAUAAAUGCUUGUGUGUGUGUUGGGCUCGAGCGUUGAUAGCAUUUCGCCCAUUACUGUGCCAGAUAACAACGUGAGUGCGCAGAUGCAAUUUGUCGCGAAAUUUACGGUCUGCUACGUCAAGACUGAUCCUCUCAAAUGAAGAGAAAUGAGUGUUGAGACAAUCUCCUACAGGUUUCUGCCUCUCCCCAUUCUCUCUCUCUCUCUUUCUCUCGCUCGCUCACUCGCAAAUGGCAUGCCUAAAUGAGCUUGCUGUCUCUGUGCGCUACUGUUGUUUUUAAAUUGACAUCUGUUCUCAGUGCAUGAUGUGAUUUGUACAGUUGAGAGCAAAAUUAGUUUUUGGUUUUUUUUUUGUUUGUUUUUUUAUCUUUCUUUUUCUGGCAACCCCAUUAUUUGAUUAUGGUUGUGCCCGCUUAUGUCAAGAAUGUAUUUACCGAUCUUAAAUCGAUUUGGAUAACAUGCCGCGCAGUGAUACGGUAAAGUGCACAAUCGGGUUCUUUUCGUAUUUAAAUAAAGAAAGAAAAGGAAACCUCAACACUGGUACUUGUUGAUGAGCGGGUUUUCUUCAUAGCCUGUGUUAACUUGCUCUUUACAACGGUGGUGUUCAGAAAAGCAUCUUGGAAUGCACAACACUUCUAAACGUUGGGGCAGAAGACUACAAACUACAGAUUCCACUCCUGUCAGCGAACAACAGGGAGCCGAGGACAAACCGGACAGCUGAAGACUGGAAAUGGAGCGGGCGGUUGUAAAGAAUGGGUAUCUGAGUUCCUGUAGCCUCCGUGUCCGCUCGAACCGGUCUGGUUAUUCUCCUCUGUUCGUUCUCAUCGACGUGGCGCGUCAACCUGCAGCAGUGCUGCUUGCUAGAUUGUUUUUGUUUUUCGCACCGUUCUGUAUAAACUUUACACACUGUGUGCAUGGAGAUCAGCAGUUUCUGAAAUGACCAAACAAGCCCGUCUGGCACCGACUGCCCUACCAUGUGCGAAGGCCCUGUCUACGCUAGUGCGUUUUCCUUUUAAAAUGAAAACGAUCCUCGUCCACACUGGCGUUUCCGCUACGUUUUCAGAAACGAUCUCCGUCCACACUACACGACAGAAAACGCAUGUCACAUGACCAUUCCUGCACACUGGGCAUGCAUAUACAAGUGUAAACAGGAAGUUGGUAGCUAGUCCAAACCGGUUCAGUCUCUGUGCGGUUCAGUCUCUGUGGUGUUGUGUAUACGAUCAAGGUAGAGUCAUGGUCAUAUGGUAGGGGCUUGACGAAUCAGGGAAGGAUAUGCAAUGAUCCAGAAGACCCAAUCAGGGGGCGAGUGUGGGCGAAGCCACACGUUAGUUUUCAAAAGUCUUUGUUUUGGUCCGUUUACACUGAGACGCGAGGCCGGAGUUUUCGAACUAAAACUGUCUUCUGCGUUUACGAAUGUGGGUGGAAAAACGGCGGAGUAGUGUAGACGAGAGGCGUAACCGUAAAAACAAUUAUGCGCAAGUGUAAACGGGGACGAAGCCAGUGAGAUUACAUUUUCCCCCGUUCUGAUGAUUGGUGUGAAGUUUCGCUGAAACCUUUUGACCUGUAUCUAGAUGAUUUUUUUUGUGUAGGGUUACUGCCAUGUGAUUGGCUGAUUGUAUAAUUGCAUGAAUGACCAAGGGUACAGGUAUUCCUAUUAAAGUGCCCUGUGUGUGUGUGUGUGUGUGUGUGUGUGUGUGUGUGUAAUAUAUGUAUACCAUUUUAAAGCUUUUUAACUUCAAUAUAAGGCUGUAUUGAGUAGAAUUUAUUCACAUCAAUCUCAUAUUCAUGGCCACAUGGUAAUGGAACGAGGUCACAUGGUCCCCAUUUUGGCUUUUCCUGCUGGCGAUCGUGCGUCGUUAUGAGCUUGUACCUUCCUCUAAAACGUUAUUGGAAUGCACUCUAAUGGCCCGGCGUGUUCGGCAUUUUCAGCCAAAGGAAUGCCAUCACUCGGUCUUUCUUCUUUUCUUCUCUUUUAUUUGCUGGAGCUGUGUGGAGUGACGCCACUUCCCCUCCUCUCGUCCUUGGGGAUGAUGGACAGAUAAGACGGCCCUCAAUCAGCCGCCGAAGGAAAAGAGGCUUCCGAGAUAAGAAAUGGGCAAAGAAAAGAAGUGCGAGAAAGAAAAACAUUCCUAACUCCUCUUGGCUUUCUCUCUCCUGGUCAGAUUUGUCUUAUCUCCUUUAGGUUCUAUGGUUUCUCUUGCCCCUGCCCUUACUCCAGUUAGAAUUUCUCCCGGGUUUUUUUUUUGUUGUUGUUGCUUCCUGCAUUCGUUUUCUUUCCGGCAGUCAUUGGGUCAUUCUCAUGUAAAUACAGCGGUACCAGGAACUUCAACUGGAGAUUGCUCUACACAUCUUAAAACAAUCACCGUGUUCCCUAAUAUCCAAUCUUGAUGGCCGGCUGGACUGUUUCUCUGUAAAAAGAUUAAAUACGCCCUGGACAAGGUCCAGGGUUUUAUUUUUUUAUUUUUUUUUUUUGGCCCAGUGAUCUAAUGAGACGACAUUGACUCUUUCACCCUGAAAAGUCUCGGCUCACUAGCAUGGAUAUUGAAUAUGAUGGAGGAUAUGAGGCGUGGCAUUUAGCUACACGUGAAAAUACAGACCGAGUCUAAUGGAUCAUUUAUACACUUUGACAUGCAAAGUGAUUAGUCUCCAUGGCCUAGAUGGAUCAAACCAAUUCACAGCUAAAAUGGCUCAAAAAAUAGUGUCAAGUGGUGCGUGAUACUCUAGCAAAGCCCCUCUUUUGCACUUUAUGUGAUUUUUGUUAACCAUGUUCAGGAGUGAACAAAUGAUUUCAUUGCUAUCCUCACAGGGCAGUUAAAGCUUUAUUAAUACAGAUGUGCAUUAAAUACAGAAACGAAUGGGAUUAUGACCAUCACAACCUUCUAACAGGCUGUAAUGUUGCUGUGUACAUUUAUUCAUUUAACAAACGCUUUUAUCCAAAGUGACUUACAAGGAAAGCAAUACAUCAAGCGGAGAACAAUACAAGUAGUGCUACCAUACAAGAUCUUUUCAUUGAGAUCUAGAAAAGCAGAGUAGAG